UAGGGAAUGGCAGGGGCUGGCAUAGGAGUGAGGGGGAGGAGGCAAGGUGAGGGGGGCCAGGUGAGGAGGGGGGCACUUGAAGGGGAGUUCAAGACCAGCCUGGGCAACAUGGUGAGACCACCGCCCCUCACCGCCGCCAUCUCUGGUCUCACUCUGGUCUCACACACAUGCACAAAUUAAAUUUAAUUUAAAAAUUAAAAAAUUGUUUUAAAAUAAGUGAAAUGUUUACAUGGAUUACGUAUACAUUCAUUUUGUAGAACUAUAGAUCCCAUGUAACUGGGAACUCUUUACUCUUCUAACACAACAUUUAUUUAGCCACAAAUAAAAGACCAGUGAUGUAGCCUGUACACAAAAAAGUAAGAAAACACUGGUUAGGCUGGGGCAGGGGUGGGGGGAAGAGAUCUACAAAAUUAAAAUUUUAUUGGGAAGGAUCACUAAUUAGAAUCAGAACAAUUACUGCUUUAAAGUAGUUAAGAACAGAGCACAAGGAACCCAGAGAAGAAGCAGAUAUGAUUCAGAGCAGAACUUACAGAGCAGAUGGUAUCUGAGCCGAGACUGAUAGAAUAACAUUAAUAAGGGCAUUCACGGCCAUUUAUUAUCACUUAACUGCAAUGCAUUUUGUAUAAGUUAUUUCUACUCUUCAUAUCAACCAUGGAAAAUAAUACUUAUUCUUCUCUUUUGAAGUUAAAGAAGUGGUAAGUGGUCUAAGAAGAUAAAUUAACAUACCAACACCAAAUAGCUCAAGUUCAGUGACUCAAGAGGGCCCGUGUCUCCCCAAGAGGUUGCUCAGCAGGCAGACGAGGUAGAGAGCCCUUCCAAGAAGUGACAGUGAGAUGUGAAAAGUCUCAGUGUGUCUCUGAGAACAACAGAAACCAGUGUGUAGACCAAGUGGGAAAAGCCACGGAAGAGGCAGGGAUUUCCUCUUAAGAUAGCAAGAAUAAACAGAGCAGGGCUGAGGGAAGCCAUGGAAAAUGGGCAGAAUACCAUGCAUUUAGUGAGAAAAAAACAACUUUUACUUUAGAAAGGGGGAAAGAAUGGUGGUGGUCUAGGUAAGCCUAGAAGCAGAGGAAAGGGCAAUGGAGAAAAAAUAAACAAAAUGUAUGAGUCAGGGUUCUCCAGAGGGACAGAACCAACAAGAUGCAUGUAUAUGUAUAAGGGAGUUUACCAGAGAGAAUUGGUUCACACGGUUAGAAGGCAGUCCCACAAUAGGCUGUCUGCCAGGUAGGGAAAGAGAGAAGCUAGUAGUGGCUCAGUCCAAGUCCAAAAGCCUCAAAACCAGGAAAGCCCGCAGUGCAGUCUUCAGUAUGAGGCCGAGGGCCUGAGAGCCUCGGGGAAGCUGCUGGUGCAAGUCCCAGAGUCCAAAGGCAUAAGAACCUGGAGUCUCAUGUCCGAGGGCAGGAAGAAGGGAAGCAAGUGUCCUGCACGGGAAGAAGAAAAAAAGAGAGACAGAAGCUUCAGCUAGCAAGGUUAUCCCAUCUUCCUCCGCCUGCUUUAUUCUAUACAGUGCAGCAUGUGUACACCACUUCUGUGAUAUUGUUUCUAAUAUCCAUGGGAAGAAAGAGUGAUGUUACUCCCAAUAGCAUAUGGGGGUGUACAUCCCCUGUGAUAUUAUUCCUAGCAUGCAGGGGCAGGGAAAGGAUGACAUUACUCCCAAUAUCGCAGAGGGUGUACUCCCCGCCUUGUGAUAUUGUUCCUAAUAUUUAGGGGAUAGUGGGUGAUAUUACUCCCAAUAUCACAGGGGGUGUGCACCCCCCGUGGUAUUCUUCCUAAUAUCCGGGGUGGGGGGAGAGGUUGAUAUUACUGUCAAUGUCACAGGGGGUGUACAUCCUCCCGUGGUAUUGUUCCUAAUAUCUGGGGGAGAGGAAAUUACUGUCAAUAUCACAGUGGGUGUACACCUCUUCUGUGAUAUUGUUCCUAAUAUCCGG
rnacentral:lncRNA from 1 species